UGGGGAAUAUUGGACAAUGGGCGAAAGCCUGAUCCAGCAACGCCGCGUGGAUGACGAAGCUUCUUGGAGUGUAAAAUCCUGUCAGUGGGGACGAAACGUAAGGGUAGGAAAUGACCCUUGCCUGACUGUACCUGCAGAGGAAGUUCCGGCCAACUCCGUG
rnacentral:rRNA from 1 species